rnacentral:rRNA from 1 species
UGGGGAAUAUUGCACAAUGGGGGAAACCCUGAUGCAGCGACGCCGCGUGAGUGAAGAAGUAUUUCGGUAUGUAAAGCUCUAUCAGCAGGGAAGAAAAUGACGGUACCUGACUAAGAAGCCCCGGCUAACUACGUGCCAGCAGCCGCGGUAAUACGUAGGGGGCAAGCGUUAUCCGGAUUUACUGGGUGUAAAGGGAGCGUAGACGGCGAUGCAAGUCAGAAGUGAAAGCCCGCGGCUCAACUGCGGGACUGCUUUUGAAACUGUAUGGCUGGAGUGCAGGAGAGGUAAGCGGAAUUCCUGGUGUAGCUGUGAAAUGCGUAGAUAUCAGGAGGAACACCAGUGGCGAAGGCGGCUUACUGGACUGUAACUGACGUUGAGGCUCGAAAGCGUGGGGAGCAAACAGG